GACGAACGCUGGCGGCGUGCUUAACACAUGCAAGUCGAACGGAAAGACCCUGCUUUUGUUGGGUGCUCGAGUGGCGAACGGGUGAGUAACACGUGAGUAACCUGCCCUUGACUGUGGGAUAACUUCAGGAAACUGGGGCUAAUACCGGAUAGGAUCUCCUGCUGCAUGGUGGUGGUUGGAAAGUUUCGGCGGUUGGGGAUGGACUCGCGGCUUAUCAGCUUGUUGGUGGGGUAGUGGCUUACCAAGGCUUUGACGGCUAGCCGGCCUGAGAGGGUGACCGGCCACCUUGGGACUGAGAUACGGCCCAGACUCCUACGGGAGGCAGCAGUGGGGAAUAUUGCACAAUGGGCGGACGCCUGAUGCAGCAACGCCGCGUGCGGGAUGACGGCCUUCGGGUUGUAAACCGCUUUCGCAUGUGACGAAGCGUGAGUGACGGUAAUGGGUAAAGAAGCACCGGCUAACUACGUG
rnacentral:rRNA from 1 species